CUUGACGGUGGCUGUGCGCAGGGCGCCUUCGGGCGCGCCGGUUUUCGGUUUGCCCGGUCUACUAACCUGCGUACAGCCGCCACCCUU
rfam:Pseudomonas sp. G5(2012) strain G5 PG5_14, whole genome shotgun sequence.